AAUUCGGCUUCCGAAUUCGUCGACAACCUGGUUGAUCCUGCCAGUAGUCAUAUGCUUGUCUCAAAGAUUAAGCCAUGCAUGUCUAAGUAUAAGCUUUUAUACRGUGAAACUGCGAAUGGCUCAUUAAAACAGUUAUAGUUUAUUUGAUGGUCUCUUUUACAUGGAUAACCAUGGUAAUUCUAUGGCUAAUACAUGCGCACUGGCCUCCUUCUYUGGAGGGGCUGUGUUUAUUAGAUACAAAACCAACCCACAUUGUGGAGUCCUGGUGAUUCAUAGUAACCGAACGGAUCGCAGUUGGCUUCGGCCCGCGAUGGAUCUUUCAAGUUUCUGACCUAUCAGCUUUCGACGGUAGGGUAUUGGCCUACCGUGGCAGUGACGGRUAACGGGGAAUUAGGGUUCGAUUCCGGAGAGGGAGCCUGAGAARCGGCUACCACAUCUAAGGAAGGCAGCAGGCGCGCAAAWUACCCAAUGAAARCAGUUUCGAGGUAGUGACGAGAAAUAACAAUACAGGGCAUUUUAUGCUCUGUAAUUGGAAUGAUGGGAAUGUAAAACCCUUCCAGAGUAACAAUUGGAGGGCAAGUCUGGUGCCAGCAGCCGCGGUAAUUCCAGCUCCAAUAGUGUAUAUUAGAGUUGUUGCAGUUAAAAAGCUCGUAGUUGGAUUUCUGUCGUGGUCAUCCGGCUCCGCCUGUAUGGGUGUGCGCCUGGUUUGCCCGCGGCUUUCUUCCGGUAGCCUACCGCGCUUCACUGCGUGCGUUGGUGUUCCCCGGAACUUUUACUUUGAGAAAAAUAGAGYGUUUCAAGCAGGCUUGUCGCCCUGAAUACUUCAGCAUGGAAUAAUAAGAUAGGACCUUGGUUCUAUUUYGUUGGUUUCUAGGACCAAGGUAAUGGUUAAUAGGGACAGUUGGGGGCAUUCGUAUUUAACUGUCAGAGGUGAAAUUCUUAGAUUUGUUAAAGACGAACUACUGCGAAAGCAUUUGCCAAGGAUGUUUUCAUUAAUCAAGAACGACAGUAGGGGGUUUGAAGACGAUUAGAUACCGUCGUAAUCUCUACCAUAAACUAUGCCGACUAGAGAUAGGGAAUGCAUUAUUCCAAUCCUCCYUGCACCUCAUGAGAAAUCAAAGUCUCUGGGUUCUGGGGGGAGUAUGGUCGCAAGGCUGAAACUUAAAGGAAUUGACGGAAGGGCACCACCAGGCGUGGAGCCUGCGGCWUAAUUUGACUCAACACGGGGAAACUCACCAGGUCCAGACAUGGGAAGGAUUGACAGAUUGAUAGCUCUUUCUUGAUUCUAUGGGUGGUGGUGCAUGGCCGAAGCCGAAUU
rnacentral:rRNA from 1 species